rnacentral:misc_RNA from 1 species
AAAACCGAAUCAAUUCGAAGCAACCAACAAUAGUGGAUCGUGCAAACACCUUCCCCAGUCAGCCUCCACCCCCUUUAUACACACACACACACACACGCACAUAUACGGACAGACAGACACAGCCGCGCAAGCGCUGUCCUCGCACUCCUCUCUGUUCGUGCUGUUUCUCCUGUGCUUUUAUGGCCUUUCGUUCACCUUCCCACUACCCGUGCUUCCGUUGAUCUUCUCUGUUUUUGUGCCCGUUUUUGGUUUGUGUCACACCGCGAAGCAUCCGGGCGGGAAGCGCGCGUCAUGGCGGGUGUUCUCACGCUGAACUUGGUGCUGCAGAGGUCCAAGACGGACGAUAUUCGCCGAGUCCAGAAGCUUAAUGUAUGCGCGUCGCAGAUACAAGAUAUCGGUGUGCUGCGGCAGGCCGUCGCAUUGGAGGUACUGUCCAUGUCGCUGAACGAUAUUUCAGAGCUCGGUGCCUUGUCGAAUUGUCGCCGACUGGCGGAGGUUCACCUCCGCAAGAACCAAAUCCGCGACAUCAACCAAGUACUACACCUCUCUCGCCUGCCCUGCUUAGAGGUGCUCAAUUUGGUCGACAAUCCCAUUACCCGUGACCCUAACUACCGGCGCUUCGUCGUCGCCGCCAUUCCAUCGCUCGAGCGCCUCGAUGACCGCGACAUCACAGACGAGGAGCGUAACAAUGCCCUUGCAGUGUUUCCGCAGCUGCUGAGUUUUGCUCCCCCGCCGUCAAAGUACGCGCAGCCGCUGGAGGGCAUCGCACCACCAACGAUUCAGGAGCGCGAAGCACAGGCGCGGGCGAACAGCACGCACGCCAGCCACAGUGGCGCCACCGGGUUCGAGGCAGGUCGUCCGAACAUGCACCCUAGAAAGGCCACUAACAGCGUCAGUGGCUUCGGCGGCGGUAAUGUGUACAACGGCCGUGUUGGCUCCGGGGCUAGCGGCAAUCCGACCAUUCACAAGGCCCCGCCUGCGUCAGUGUAUCAGGAUCCGAACCGCUGUGCUGCGCUUCCUCCCGCUCGCUCCAGCCCCGCCGCGCGUGCUCAGGCCGUCAACGACUAUCAGUCCGUCUCAUCUUACCCCUCCGGGCCUUCCGAGGAAGGCGUAGUACAAGCUGUCAAAGUACUAUGCUCGGAACUGUCACCUGAGGCGCUGGAUGAUGUGCGCCGCUUUAUCGACUCCCUGAGCGGGUAUUAGGGAGGGUGGUGGUACCCGACAGGGCGCCGCCAUGCGUUCACGCUCGUGUAGUGCCGUGUGCCAUGUGCAUGUGCGUGUGUUCAAACACCACGUGGAACGGGAAACAGCGAUUUUUGUAGGGGUGGGAACGUGGGGCAGGGCAUGUUCAAGCAAUUUGUAACGUGCUGGCCCGACCGCUUGUUUCCAGCUGCUUCGAAGCUGUGCGCGCACGACUUGCACAUGAAAACGUUAUUAUCACACCUUCCCGAUCAGCUGCGCACGCGCAGGCGCCAAAGAAACACGGGAACGUACGGAAAAAAAAUGUAGAUUUAAAUGUCGUUAUUAUGCGUCACACGGCGUGUGCGUUUUUGUGCCCGCUUCUGAGAAAGUAAGCGAAGAAAUCUAUUGUGACGCGGACAAGGGCAUUCACACGCAGGUACGUACGCCACAAUGCUCGACGUCACGUGGGAGGCUUCCCAAAGGGGAGCGCUGCCCCAGCGGAACGUUGUAGAGUAGGGUGCAGCUGUGCAUAGUAAAGCGAACGCUCCCAGAACUAAGAAGGAACCCGCAGCUGCAGAAGGAGAGAAGAGGCCAAAGGCGGCCGGAGGAGACAGUGAUUGCCUCGCCUGCCUUGAUGCAUCGCUUGCGCACGUAAAUCUGCUUUUUGCCUUACACUGGCGCUCUCCUUAGAGAAGGGCGUCGCACUACGCGUGCUUGCUGCCUUAGGUCACACACUCGCUUGUGUGUCGGUCGUCUUUUGUUUUCUGUGCUUGCGUGCGCCCCUGGCCUCUUCUGCACGCCGAACGGAGAGCGAAGAAAAAGAACCGUUGAUGUCUCCUUCAGGCUGGCAGCACUUCUUUUCCUUGUUCGUGCUACCCUCACUUCAGCUUUCUUGCACUCGGUAUGUCACGCUCGUCUUAGGCGUACCGACUCGUGCACGUGAAUAUCUAUGUAUCUAUGUGCGUGUGUCCAGCUUGCGCUUUUUUUCUUUAAGGGGUGGGUGGGUGAGUGCAUGUGUGUGCCUCUGCCUCUCUCCCUUUGCUCUGCACGGACUUGCUGACUCUUCGCUUCGCCUUCGGCUCGCUGUUUGUGUAUUUUUGCGUGUGCAAUGGGAUGUUUUCUUUUUUCUUUGUCGCGCUGUUGUCGUCUCUCCUGGUCUCGCUCUCUCUCAUCUUUUGCCGGCACAUCCGCUGCAUUGUCUCGCCCUUGCAUGCUUUCUCUUGUCUGCCUUUUUUUUCUUGCGCUCUCGUCCUCCUCUUACUGCGCUUAACGCGCAGCGCUGCAACGUAGUGGAGGUUCACAGAAAGAUGAGAACAUCCACAAAAAAGACAGCCCACCUCUACAUGUGGGAUUGGAAUCCAUUGCAAGGGAAAAUCUAUAAGCAUGCAGAACCACCGUCCCUCACGAGACCCUGUGGCUACCGCCCCCCCUUCACGCGAAGAAAUGCGUCUUUUAACGCUCCAAGUGACGUCGCUCGAUGCCGCGACUGUUCUUCUGUGCUUGCAGAUCACACAAG